GCCGCCCUUCGCUGGAGCGUACUACCGGUACUACGUUGUUCCGCGCUCCGCCCGUGAGGAGUGACGUGGCACCGCGUAUUCUACCGCAGUGCAUUCGUCGCUGCGUUCGUGCCUGUUAUGUGCGCUGCAACCUCGCCUUUGAAAGGACGACAACCUUGCUUUUUAAUUACAAGUUUAAUGUUUGCUUAAGACGAUGGACACAUUGCAAAUGGCGGCAGGAGUGGAUCGGUGGAGCGACGAUUUAUAUUACAAGUGAGGCUAAUUGUAUUCUUUCGUUAUAGGUGAACGUGGGACUGUAUCGACUGCAAGGACGUAGUGUCCUGUGUCAACGGUCACGCAUAUGCGUGCAAAACUGCAACUGCUUCUCACAUCGAAGAGGGGUCUGGUGCCACAUGCUCGGACAAUUAUUCGUCGGCCAUUUCGUUUGAGGAACUGUCGUGUUCGUCGCUAAGGAUGACCUUGGUUGAGUUUUGCAGUGCCAGCCUGGUGCAUCGGAGGGGUUGUGCCCAUGCAACGUGUGCUCCAUAUGUGUGUGUUGGGUUUAGUGAACCGUGUAUGCUUUCCAUUCGGCCAAUGAUGAUGUACUGGAUGAAAUUUAAAGGUAUGUGCACGCCAAUAAAAUUUGGUGUUUCAAGUUCAAUGUCCUUGGUGC